rnacentral:rRNA from 1 species
UUGGAGGGCAAGUCUGGUGCCAGCAGCCGCGGUAAUUCCAGCUCCAAUAGCGUAUAUUAAAGUUGUUGCAGUUAAGAAGCUCGUAGUUGAAUUUCGGGGUUCAUCCGUUGGUCGGGCUUUUUUGGUCUGUACUGGCGUGAUGGAUUCCUACCUUCUGAAUAACCGGCAUGUCAUUAAUUUGGUGCGCCGGGGAAGCAGGACUGUUACCUUGAAAAAAUUAGAGUGCUUAAAGCAGGCUGUCGCCUGAAUACAUUAGCAUGGAAUAAUGAAAUAGGACGGCAUGGUUCUAUUUUGUUGGUUUCUAGGAUCACCGUAAUGAUUAAUAGGGAUAGUUGGGGGCAUUAGUAUUCAAUUGUCAGAGGUGAAAUUCUUGGAUUUAUUGAAGACUAACUUCUGCGAAAGCAUUUGCCAAGGAUGUUUUCAUUAAUCAAGAACGAAAGUUAGGGGAUCGAAGACGAUCAGAUACCGUCGUAGUCUUAACCAUAAACUAUGCCGACUAGGGAUCGGACGAUGUUAAUUUUUUAAUGACUCGUUCGGCGCCUUACGGGAAAC